AGUGAACGCUGGCGGUAGGCCUAACACAUGCAAGUCGAACGGCAGCACAGUAAUAGCUUGCUCUUACGGGUGGCGAGUGGCGGACGGGUGAGGAAUACAUCGGAAUCUACUUUUGCGUGGGGGAGAGCGUAGGGAAACUUACGCUAAUACCGCAUACGACCUACGGGUUAAAGCAGGGGAUCUUCGGACCUUGCGCGAUUGAAUGAGCCGAUGUCGGAUUAGCUAGUUGGCGGGGUAAAGGCCCACCAAGGCGACGAUCCGUAGCUGGUCUGAGAGGAUGAUAAGCCACACUGGAACUGAGACACGGUCCAGACUCCUACGGGAGGCAGCAGUGGGGAAUAUUGGACAAAGGGCGCAAGCCUGAUCCAGCCAUACCGCGUGGGUGAAGAAGGCCUUCGGGUUGUAAAGCCCUUUUGUUGGGAAAGAAAAGCAGCAGGUUAAUACCACGCUGUUCUGACGGUACCCAAAGAAUAAGCACCGGCUAACUUCGUG
rnacentral:rRNA from 1 species